GAUGAACGCUGACAGAAUGCUUAACACAUGCAAGUCUUUGGCGAAGCUGUGCUUGCACAGCCUAGCCAAGGCGGACGGGUGAGUAACGCGUAAGGAACUUGCCCUGCAGUCAGGGAUAACAGACGGAAACGACUGAUAAGACCUGGUAAAGUCAGGCGGACUCAUGUCCAGCCUGAUGAAAAGAGAUGCUGCAGGGGAGCCUUGCGUCCUAUUAGCUUGUUGGUGGGGUAACGGCCCACCAAGGCGAUGAUAGGUAGCCGGCCUGAGAGGGUGGACGGCCACAAGGGGACUGAGAUACAGCCCUUACUCCUACGGGAGGCAGCAGUGGGGAAUAUUGGACAAUGGGGGCAACCCUGAUCCAGCAAUUCUGUGUGCACGAUGAAGGUUUUCGGAUUGUAAAGUGCUUUCAGCAGGGAAGAAAAAAUGACGGUACCUGCAGAAGAAGCGACGGCUAAAUACGUG
rnacentral:rRNA from 1 species